rnacentral:lncRNA from 1 species
GCUUCUGGUCCAGUGGCUAUAGUUCAGAAGAUGACAGGUUCGUGGGUCUCAAAGGGAAGGACUUACUACAGAUACUCAACAACUGUGAUCAACAAAUCACCAAGAGCUCUGAAAAGUCUUAACCUUUCAAUCAAGAAUCUCUACGGACCAAUCUGGGGACUCUCUAGAUCAGGAAACUCAUUCGGUUUACCUUCCUGGAUGCACUCAUUGCAAUCCGGAAAGUCCCUAGAGUUCGUCUACAUUCACUCUACAACUCCCGCCAAUGUCGCGGUUUCAGGCUACACGUUGGCUUGACCAGACAACAACAACUUCAAAAGGAAUCACAGUGUGUAUAGGUCGUGAGAAGAAGAAGAAAGCGUUGGUUUUUUCGUCUGGUUCGUCAAGAAAGUUAAAAGGUUUGGUCUUUUUAUUUUUAUUUUGCAUUUUUCGUGUUCCUCUGGCGAAUAUGAAAGGGUUGAAGAAGGGUGGAAGAAAGGUGUGAAGAGAGUGAAUGACUCUUCAGAAAAUUUAGAAGAAGAGUGAAAGUGCUCAUCCUCUUUCUACUUCAAGUUCAAUGCUUUUUUAAAUUUAUAUAUAUAUAUAGUGAGAGAGAGGAAGAUAGAAAAAAAAAAGAUAGUGUCUUGUGAGAAUUUGCAGGGAUUGUUUUUUUCAUUCCUUGUAGCUCAAAACAUGUGCAUGCCUUUGUCCUUUUGUGUGUGUUUAUCUUUCUUGGUGGUCAGUUGUAAAACUCAACAACAGUCCUUAAUGGAAUGUGAUAUGGUUAUUAACUUGUGUUAAGUACUUGUCGUCCAUAGACAAACUGAAGUUUAGCCAUAUUAAUUAAUGAUAAAGCCAAAAAUAAAACCUUCCCCAGAUUGUUUAUUUUUCUACACAAUGUGAUGAAUCUUGGUAGAUUUUACAUUUUAGUUUAUACAGAUAAUUUUAUUACAAUAUAAAACCCCGAAGCUUCAUCAUGCUUAAAGAUAAUUGUAAAAUUUUCAUAAUGUAGCCUGAAUGUGUUGUUGUUGAUGUAAACAAAAUAAAAUUGAAUGAGACUAUUAAUUGACCUGAUAGUAAUUGAGAUGCCGAGGCCUUUGCUUCUUAUAAGAAGAUGUGACAAGCCAUUUACAAGAAAGAAAAAAAGAAGGUGUGAUGAGAUCUCUUUCCAUGUCGAAUGAUACUGCGUCCAAGUGAACACCUCUUAUCAGCUCAAAUCCCUCCAGCUACAAAUAAAAAUGAAAAACCCCAUUGUGUAGUAAAAAAAAUUGCCGUAAGACUCCAAUAUAUUUUGCUAUUUUUUUUAAUAAAAAAAUUAUAUAAUAGAAAUAAAUAUAUGUUCCAAUGUAUUUUUUUAAGAUAGCAAUCUCCAAUAUAUAGUAAAAUAUAGAGAACUGUUAUUUUUAUUUUUAUAAAUGCAAUACAUGUUUCUAACACUUGCAAUACAUGUUUCUCACACCCUAUUUAUGAGUCAAUUUGAAAAAUUCGAAAUAGUUAAGUUUAUGGUCAAAUAUCAUGGUUAAUAUCUUGUUUCCUAUUUUUGUUUCACUUGCAUAUAAUACUUUCCAAAAAUUGAAAUUUAGAAAGGAACAAUCAGGAAUUUUUAUGAUUGAAUUAUAGCGAAAAUAUAUUCAUUUCACUGAAAUAAAACGAGCCUAAACCUCAUAUCUUGUGACUGUAUAUAUGAUACUAAGCUAAAAACUUAGGCAUCACAACGAACAAUAUGUGUUAAAUUUCUUAGUUAAAUAGCUUGAUCUGUUGUCGUUAGUUUAAUUAUAUUUGUUUAACCCAGAUAGUCCAGUUCAUCUGAAAGUCCGUGUUGAUUGCUUUUCAUUGAUCUGUAUAUCAAACGUUACAUUAUUGUAACAUGUAUUAUUUGUUACUAUGACUUUUUAUUUUUUAAAUAUUUACUAAUUUUUAACUUUUUUUAAUCUAUUCACUCCAUGCAAGGCAUAUAUCACCGCCUAGUAUAUAGUAAAAUAUAGAAAAUGCUAUUUUUUUUUCUAUUAAUGCAAAAAUAUGUACAUUGGUUACAUGUUUCUAACACUUUAUUUUUACUUCACAUCAUGAUCUCUCUUACACAUCAUCUUUUUUUCACAUCAUAAUUUAACACCCACUCAAUUUUUAUUCUCAAGAAUGAUUUGGUUUAAAAAAAAUUACAACACCGUACCCCACUAAUUUUAUUUAUAUUUUUAUAUUAUUUUAUGUCUUUUUUGUGAUUAUAAAAAUUAUAAUUUCAAAUUAAAUCAAAUAAUUAAGAACUAAAUAAAUUUAUAACAUAAUUGAUCUUUUUCGUUUUUAUUUUAUAUAUUAAUAUUUUUUUAAAAAAAAUAGCAGGAGCUAAUAGCAAAAAUAUAGUAAAAAAGAUGAGUUUGUUUAUGUGUCCAAAUGAAAUUAAACAAAUCUCUAUUUAUAAAGUAUGAAAAUAAUGAAUGUUGAUAUAAAACUUUUAUAUAUAAUUAUAAUUAUAUUAAAUAAUUGAUAUUAAAUAAUGGAGAUGGAAAAAAUUAAAAAAUAAGAGUAUCCAAUCAGUUUUUUACAUUUGUUUUCAUCCACCUAUUAACGUUGCAAUUAAAAUUUGAGAAACAAACUUAAUAUUUUGCUCUAAUCAACAUUUGCCACGUCAUACAAGAAAAUAUAUUUUAUCAACGCUGUUGAUAAGUUUCAACACUAAAUUUGCCACAUCAUGUAUUUUACUUUUACAAUAAACUAUUGUAAAUUUAUCAACAAUUGUUAAUAUUUAUCAAGAGUUGAUAAAUCUUCUAUUGUAAGUAGUCUAAAAAAAUAUAGCAAUCUAUAUUUUAAAAGAAUAAAUAAAGUAGGGCUGGAACCGUUUUAAGCCCUAAAUAUUAUUAUAAAUGUAAAUAUAGUGGUGAUCUGAAGAUACUAUGAGAAAAAAACAACAAGAACUAAGAAGACUCAUGAACAAAUUAUAACUUUUUUUUGUCUUUGGCUACUCUACUGAAUUCUUCAAGGAUAACUCAAAAUUAUUUCAAUUUGUAUUCUCUCUAUUUCAUUACUAUUAAAAUUUAGAUUUUAUAUAAAAACAAAAAAACACGAUUAAUUUUAUUUAUUUAUUUAUGACAUUUUCUGAACGGAAUCGUAAGUUUCCAACGUGUUUUUAAAUACGAUAUUUUGGAAGCGAGAUUCUGCAAGCUUCCACAAAGUUUCGAUUCUGAUUUCGGUUCCGAAUCGGGAAGCAGACGUCCGAUGAAGUUUCCUUGCUUUUUAACGAAUAUCUCAUUGAUUUUUUCUAUGUUUUUUUUUUCAGUUCAGGAAACAUAAUAUAUAAGAAAAAGAAAACUCUAAAAUUCUUAUAUAAGUAUAUCAAUUAUGUUUGAUUGACUUAUGGAGAUAUAAAAAUAUACAAAAUAUUUUACUAUAACAUAAAAAUGUAUAUGUGUUCAUUAGCAGGAACGAGUAACAAGCGAAAAACACCAAAUACUUAUUUUUAUUUAAUAUUUGAUAGUUGUUUUAUAUUUGCAAAUAAUUUAAAUAUAUUACUUAAUUAGUACCAGUCAAUGUAAAUACCCGACUAUAUGGAUCAGCUACAUACCAAAUAGGGAAUUCGAGACAAGUUACAAGUAAUCAUGCCCACUCCUACAAGUAGGCUACUACUAUCACUAAAUCUUGGACAAUAGUAUAUGCUACUUUCAUUUCACAUGAAAAUAGAGGAUUCAGUUUAGGCCUAUAAAUUACAUUAUAGCCCAUUUUUGUUAAUUUAUUUCUCUCGAGUUUACUAUGCAGUUUACACGUAUGACAUCAGGCUAUUUAUUUAUUAGAUCAUGGCCUGAAAGUCAUACCUAAAAUCUUGAACUUGUCUCCCUACAUCUCAUUAAUUUUCGGUGUGGUCUAUGAGAUAUAUACAAUAGUAUAUUUGUUAUCUAGUGAAAGCUUGAAAGAACAUCCAAAUAUUAAAUUUACUAGAAACAAUAUAUCAGGGAGAUGGGCAUCAUAAAUUUCAACUUGUACAUAGUAAAACACUUAAAAUUCAAUUUUAUUUUCUUUUAAUGUUCAGUGAUUCUGCAUGUAAAUUUCGGAGGAUAUAUUAGUGUUCACAUUUGGUCCAAGCAUGUGAUCGGAUUUUCACAUUGGCGAAAAAGUCAUAAAAAAAGUCUUUGGGUUUGAAUUAUAUUCAUUCUUGCUCUUUAAACACUUUUGGGUUAAAAUUAAAACAAAAGAAUUAAACCUAUAUUACAAGCUGCGUCUCAAAAGUCUUUGCAUAGUGUCCGUGACACUGUCGGGCAACAGGUUCCGAACGGUUGAUAUUGACGUUAACCUAACGGUUGUCUUUUUGUGACGGUUGUCUUUGUUUGUGUGAAUUAUUCAAUAAAAAAUUGUCUAAAGUUUCAUAUUUAUUUGUCAUUCUAUGACCCAGUUGAUUGAUCAACAUGUCGAUACGUUAAAUGCAGUGUUUAUUUGGAUUUUUAUAUCUAACAUUAAUAGACUUAUAAUUGAAAGAAACAAAUAUGUUGUAUCCUUACGAUAUAAAUAACUGAGUUUUUAAAAUGUACGUGUUCUUGAUUAUAUAUUUUAAGUUUUGAAUUCUUUAAUAUGUCAUUGCCGCUAAGAGUAAUAAUGAGAGUUGUUGGGAAAUUUUUAAAGGCUUUUUAAAGACAAAUCAGUAAGAAGAUUUGAUGGUAUUAAAUUAUUUGACCCCCUAUAUAUAACAGGUGUUUUCACACUCAAGGCAAUCACUUAUUGUCAAAGAAAAAGAGAAAUAAGUCCGUUUGUUUAUGACCUUGAGAUUUGUCUCUUUUUUUUAUUUGGUAAUAAUGGGGAACUGCAUGGAGAGGUGGAUGCAAGGAGAAGGAGAAGAAGGAGAGAUAGAGGCAAGAGCAAAGGCAAAAGAGUCAUUCAAACUUGAUGGUGAUGAUGAUGACCAAGAUGGAGGUCAAGGUGGAACGAAGGUGAAGAUAGUGCUUACAAGACAUGAAUUGGAUAUGUUUUUGCUUCAGAUGAAUAGGAAUCAUGAAGGAAACUUGAUGAUGACAAAGGAUGUUAUGGUAGAGCUAGAGAAGAGGAUCAUAAAACCAACACCAUCUUUAUCAUCAUCACCAACAUCGAUGGCGUGGGAACCAUCUUUAGAGAGCAUCAUCGAGUGCCCCGAAGCUCAAGAGAUGGAUAGAUGAGGACGCUAUGAUGAUCUAAAUUGCAUUGUGUUAAAUCACGGUGAUCGGAAAUUAUAUAAUUAACAUUUUUGCAUCACUCUAUGUUUUUAGAUAGAUAAUUUUUGUUAGACUAGACUCGAGGUCGAUAUCGUACCAUAUAUAAUAAGAUCUUUAAUCUAUCAAGAAAUAUAAAAUUAAUGUGGUUACUUUUAUUAUACGUUAUAUACAAUAGGUUUGGACAAUUAACGAAUAUCGGGGGUGUAGCUCAUAUGGUAGAGCGCUCGCUUCGCAUGCGAGAGGCACGGGGUUCGAUUCCCCGCACCUCCAACUUUUUAAUCGGUUAAUUAAUUUUUGGUUUAACAAAAGCUCGACCGUCGGAUUCUUCUUUAUUGCCUUUAUCGAAAAAUCAACGGCGUAGAAUCAAACGAAGAAACAGAUAGAGAUACAAAAUAAAAAAAAAUCAUAUGAGACCGUUGGUCUCUCUCCUUCCCUCUUUCUCAGCCUCUCGUUCCUCAUCUAACUGUAGAAGAGCACCGCCGAUGCUCCUCCGCCGGUGACUUUCUCUUCCCUUUAAUUCCCGAUUAAAACAAUGAGCAGUCAGUUAGUUUCUUCCGUAUUCUCCGGAAUACAUCGCAUACCUAACCGUCACGAGACUCAUUCUCUCCUUCGCUCAAUUCUCUUCAUCCACGGGAACAAACCGGCCUGUAUUGAUCGUCGACGACCGAUUCUGCAUUCUUCCUGUGGAUAUCGGAACAGAUACAGAGUCGGCGCCGCGGCUGAUGUUUCGGAAACGCCUUCGUCGUCUCUUCUCGACGACGAGCUUAUGAGCAGUGUAUCCGCCGUUAGGGAUGCGGACGAAGCGCUCGAGAUGAUUAGCAAUCGGUUCGGACCAAAUCGCGGCGGAGUAGUUGAAAUCGAAGAUUGCCGCUCGAUAAUCUCGGCUGCUGUGAGCCGCGGCAAUGUCGAGCUUGCGUUGUCGAUUUUCUACGCCAUGCGAGCGAGUUUCGAUUUAGGUAAGGAGUUUCUGUGAUUUAUUGAGUAAGCAAGUUUAUGAAUGGUUGUGUGUGUGUUUGGUAGGUGGGAGUGAAGUUGAUCGAUGGAGAUGGUCAAGGCCUGAUGUAGAGGUCUACACGAUGUUGGUCAAUGGACUUGCUGCUUCCUUGAGGGUUUCUGAUUCUCUAAAGAUCAUUAGAGAUAUUUGCCGCGUUGGAAUCUCCCCUGCUGAGGAGGUAACGUACUCUAGUUUCUGCAAUAGUUAUGAUUCGAUUAGGUAGGGGUUAAUGGAUUAUGUUUUUAAGCAUGAUAUAAUCGAAUAUACAUUGGUAUUGAUAUAGGUUCCCUUUGGUAAAGUUGUGAGAUGUCCAAGCUGUUUGAUUGCCAUUGCUGUUGCACAACCCCAGCAUGGAGUUCAGGUGAUCAUUGAUCUCUAUCUGAUCUAUUCCUCAGUGUUUAACCUAUCUUUUUAAGAAUAAUAAUAAUAAUACGCGUUUUUCUCUGAUUAUGUUUCUAGAUUGUCUCCUGUGCUAAAUGCCGAUACCAAUACGAGCUUUUCUCUGGUGACAUUACCAGCAUAGAAUCAGAAGAGCUCGGGUUAGUUCUCUUUCAAUACGUUUUCUGUUUUCUGUUACAUAGCUCUAGGGCUUGUUUUGGUUAUAGAGAGCGGGUUGUGACUUGUGACCGGAAAAAAGAUUGAAAUGUGUGUGGUGUUAUAUCUGUUGAACAGAGAGUUGACUGUGUGUUGAUUAAUUGUGCAGCUUCUGGUCCAGUGGCUAUAGUUCAGAAGAUGACAGGUUCAUGGGUCUCAAAGGGAAGGACUUACUACAGAUACUCAACAACUGUAACAAACAAAUCACCAAGAGCUCUGAAAAGUCUUAACCUGUCAAUCAAGAAUCUCUACGGACCAAUCUGGGGACUCUCUAGAUCAGGAAACUCAUUCGGUUUACCUUCCUGGAUGCACUCAUUGCAAUCCGGAAAGUCCCUAGAGUUCGUCUACAUUCACUCUACAACUCCCGCCAAUGUCGCGGUUUCAGGCUACACGUUGGCUUGACCAGACAACAACAACUUCAAAAGGAAUCACAGUGUGUAUAGGUCGUGAGAAGAAGAAGAAAGCGUUGGUUUUUUCGUCUGGUUCGUCAAGAAAGUUAAAAGGUUUGGUCUUUUUAUUUUUAUUUUGCAUUUUUCGUGUUCCUCUGGCGAAUAUGAAAGGGUUGAAGAAGGGUGGAAGAAAGGUGUGAAGAGAGUGAAUGACUCUUCAGAAAAUUUAGAAGAAGAGUGAAAGUGCUCAUCCUCUUUCUACUUCAAGUUCAAUGCUUUUUUAAAUUUAUAUAUAUAUAUAGUGAGAGAGAGGAAGAUAGAAAAAAAAAAGAUAGUGUCUUGUGAGAAUUUGCAGGGAUUGUUUUUUUCAUUCCUUGUAGCUCAAAACAUGUGCAUGCCUUUGUCCUUUUGUGUGUGUUUAUCUUUCUUGGUGGUCAGUUGUAAAACUCAACAACAGUCCUUAAUGGAAUGUGAUAUGGUUAUUAACUUGUGUUAAGUACUUGUCGUCCAUAGACAAACUGAAGUUUAGCCAUAUUAAUUAAUGAUAAAGCCAAAAAUAAAACCUUCCCCAGAUUGUUUAUUUUUCUACACAAUGUGAUGAAUCUUGGUAGAUUUUACAUUUUAGUUUAUACAGAUAAUUUUAUUACAAUAUAAAACCCCGAAGCUUCAUCAUGCUUAAAGAUAAUUGUAAAAUUUUCA